UACGUAGGGUGCGAGCGUUGUCCGGAAUUACUGGGCGUAAAGGGCUCGUAGGUGGUUUGUCGCGUCGUCUGUGAAAUUCCGGGGCUUAACUCCGGGCGUGCAGGCGAUACGGGCAUAACUUGAGUACUGUAGGGGUAACUGGAAUUCCUGGUGUAGCGGUGAAAUGCGCAGAUACCAGGAGGAACACCGAUGGCGAAGGCAGGUUACUGGGCAGUUACUGACGACUGAGGAGGCGGAAAAGCAUGGGAUAGCGAACCGAGGCAAUUAGAUACCCCGGUACGUCC
rnacentral:rRNA from 1 species